rnacentral:rRNA from 1 species
UAGAGUUUGAUCCUGGCUCAGGAUGAACGCUAGCGACAGGCUUAACACAUGCAAGUCGAGGGGCAGCGGGGAGGUAGCAAUACUUCCGCCGGCGACCGGCGCACGGGUGAGUAGCACGUAUGGAACCUGCCCGUAGCAGGGGGAUAAGCGGAAGAAAUUCCGUCUAAUACCGCGUAAUAACUCCGAGAGGCAUCUCAUGGGGUUUAAAGGGUGACACCGGCUACGGAUGGCCAUGCGGCGCAUUAGCUAGUUGGCGGGGUAACGGCCCACCAAGGCGACGAUGCGUAGGGGUUCUGAGAGGAAGGUCCCCCACACUGGUACUGAGACACGGACCAGACUCCUACGGGAGGCAGCAGUGAGGAAUAUUGGGCAAUGGGCGCAAGCCUGACCCAGCAACGCCGCGUGAAGGAAGAAGGCUUUCGGGUUGUAAACUUCUUUUGUCAGGGACGAAGCAAGUGACGGUACCUGACGAAUAAGCCACGGCUAACUACGUGCCAGCAGCCGCGGUAAUACGUAGGUGGCAAGCGUUAUCCGGAUUUAUUGGGUGUAAAGGGCGUGUAGGCGGGAAUGCAAGUCAGAUGUGAAAACUAUGGGCUCAACCCAUAGCCUGCAUUUGAAACUGUAUUUCUUGAGUGCUGGAGAGGCAAUCGGAAUUCCGUGUGUAGCGGUGAAAUGCGUAGAUAUACGGAGGAACACCAGUGGCGAAGGCGGAUUGCUGGACAGUAACUGACGCUGAGGCGCGAAAGCGUGGGGAGCAAACAGGAUUAGAUACCCUGGUAGUCCACGCCGUAAACGAUGGAUACUAGGUGUGGGGGGACUGACCCCCUCCGUGCCGCAGCUAACGCAAUAAGUAUCCCACCUGGGGAGUACGCCGGCAACGGUGAAACUCAAAGGAAUUGACGGGGGCCCGCACAAGCGGAGGAACAUGUGGUUUAAUUCGAUGAUACGCGAGGAACCUUACCCGGGCUCAAACGCAGGGAGACUGCAAUCGAAAGGUUGCUUUCCACGGACUGCCUGCGAGGUGCUGCAUGGUUGUCGUCAGCUCGUGCCGUGAGGUGUCGGCUUAAGUGCCAUAACGAGCGCAACCCCUGCCGCCAGUUGCUAACGCGAAAGGCGAGGACUCUGGCGGGACUGCCGGCGCAAGCCGCGAGGAAGGCGGGGAUGACGUCAAAUCAGCACGGCCCUUACGUCCGGGGCGACACACGUGUUACAAUGGGCGGCACAGCGGGAAGCCAGGCGGCGACGCCGAGCGGAACCCGAAAGCCGUUCUCAGUUCGGAUCGGAGUCUGCAACCCGACUCCGUGAAGCUGGAUUCGCUAGUAAUCGCGCAUCAGCCAUGGCGCGGUGAAUACGUUCCCGGGCCUUGUACACACCGCCCGUCAAGCCAUGGGAGCCGGGGGCACUUGAAGUACGCCGCCGCGAGGAGCGUCCUAGAGUGAAACUGGUGACUGGGGCUAAGUCGUAAUCAAGGUAACCGUAA